AAAUCUGGUGGAGGUCCGUAGCGGUCCUGACGUGCAAAUCGGUCGUCCGACCUGGGUAUAGGGGCGAAAGAGCUAAUCGAACCAUCUAGUAGCUGGUUCCCUCCGAAGUUUCCCUCAGGANUAGCUGGCACUCAGACCUCAGUUUUAUCCGGUAAAGCUAAUGACUAGAGGCAUUGGGGCCGAAACGAUCUCAACCUAUUCUCAAACUUUAAAUGGGUAAGAAGCCCGGCUCGCUGGCUUGGAGCCGGGCAUGGAAUGAGAGUGCCUAGUGGGCCACUUUUGUAAG
rnacentral:rRNA from 1 species